rnacentral:lncRNA from 1 species
AGUGAAAAAGAGGUAAAAUAAGAAUUAUUUUAAAAAUUCUCGAUUUUCUCUUCUCCUUUUCAAUUUCUAGUGUGCUUCUGUGAAUGUGGCCUUGGCUGCGGGGGAAACCACCUGUGCACACGGCGCAUGCGCUGAAGGGCGUGGAGACCCUGAGUCCUCAACGUGGUGGCUGCGCAUGCUCCAAAGGGCAUGGAGACCCUGUUCUUCAACGUGGUGCCUGCGCCAGGGCGUGGAGCCCCUGUGUCUUCCUCACUGCGGUGGCUUGGAGGUUGUGCAACGUUGUGGCCAGGCUCCUCUGUUACAUCUCCCUCCCAUCCCUUGGUCCCCCUGUCUGUCACCUGUUUCCUACACGGCUGUCGUCUCCCCCAAAGCUUUUGCCAUUUGAAAAUCACUCCCCGCUCUUUGACAGUUUUGGCUCCAAGGACUCUUCAAGGAGAAACGCUUCAUGACGCGCAGGGAGACCAGAUCUGGAUCCAGAAGGAGUGGCACUCAGGAACCUGCCAGUCCUCUACCCCGAGGCUGGAGAAGCAACUGGUGGUGGGAACAGUUUCAGAUUAGUAAGGUAAAGUUGGGCUUGGCCUUGGGGCCCUCCUGCCUCAGCCUCCUAGGAGUGCUGGGAUGACAGGGAUGUGCUGCGCCUGGAUGGGAGAGGAGACUUGUAGAAAACCACAUGCAUUUUUCUAACACUUCCUGCCCCUGCUGGCUCUGCUUUGACAGCGGCUGUGUCAGGAGAAAGUGUACAGAUUGCCAAGUGCCCAGAGUCCUGGUUCCCUGACUUCAGGCUGUGCCACUUGGCUGUGGGUGCUGGGAGUCCUACCUAGGUGACCGUGUCCUGUGCAUCUCACACACUCAUGCACGCCGAGUGCUCCAGUAGCUUUAAUGCGUAAAGAAAUCCCUACAAACUUUUUAACAUCUCCAUCCCAGGGGAUCUUUUCAGGAUGAAUUUUGGGUGCCCUGGGACAGAGCUGGGUCCCCCAUGUACAUCCCGGUCAUGAGGAGAGCUUGAGCAUGACUGACUGACUUUUUUCCCUUUCCUUUCCUUUCCUUUCUUCUUUCUUUCUUUCUUUCUUUCUUUCCUUUCUUUCUUGUGGGUGCUGGGAGUCCUACCUAGGUGACCGUGUCCUGUGCAUCUCACACACUCAUGCACGCCGAGUGCUCCAGUAGCUUUAAUGCGUAAAGAAAUCCCUACAAACUUUUUAACAUCUCCAUCCCAGGGGAUCUUUUCAGGAUGAAUUUUGGGUGCCCUGGGACAGAGCUGGGUCCCCCAUGUACAUCCCGGUCAUGAGGAGAGCUUGAGCAUGACUGACUGACUUUUUUCCCUUUCCUUUCCUUUCCUUUCUUCUUUCUUUCUUUCUUUCUUUCUUUCUUUCUUUCUUUCUUUCUUUCUUUCUUUUUUGAGACAGGAUCUCAAGAUGUAGUUCAGGCUGGCCCUGAAUCCAUUGGGUAGCCCAGGCUGGCCUCGAACUUGUAGCAAUCCUGCUGCCUCAGCCUCCCAAGUGGUAGGGUUACAGGCAUGCACAACCAUGCCCGGCUUGAAUAUGAAUUUUGAACUCAACCUCCGUUUCCAGGUCCUCAAGACUUUCCUGUCUUGGAGACAUUUUCUCCGUCUGCUGCAGAUGGUGCAGAUGGGAGAUGGGUCUAAGAACCUAGAAGAAACUCCGAAGCUGUCAGCUGGUGAGUCUACACCCACUUCCCCUUGCUCCACCUAGUUCUGCACGUCUGAGCGUGGUUAACUGGGAGGCAGCUACCUCUGGGGAGCUGUGGUUUUCUCCACACCAGAGUGACUCAUUAGAGAGAGAGGGAGACAGGUCACAGAGGGACAGGUCACCCUGCUGUAGGACUAAUGAUUCCAGAAGCUGUGGUCUAGUGGACAGAUGCUAAAGAGGACUACAUAAAGCUCUUUGGCUUGUUUUGAAAGCUAAACCAGUGUGUGAAACGUAGUUUCCCCCAGACUCCAAACACACUAUUAGCCCUCUUGAAAUGUGGGCUUAGUUUAAAAAUUCAGAAGCCCAGAAGGGGCUGGGGGCGUGCUCAGUGGUAGAGCACUGGCCUAUGACACGAAGGCCCUGGGUUCAGUUGUCAGCUCCGACAAAAGAAACCUAAAAAAUAAAUAAAAACCAAACCCCUGGGAAUGGUGAAGCGGUGUCUCCAUUCAGCUAUUCAUAGUUCCGCCUGACAAGAGGAAAGUACAUGAGGAUUUGUGUUGGGUGGUGUUGGGGAAGGAACCCGGCCUUGCACACGCUAAACACUGCUUCCCUUCACCCCUAGUCCCUUGCCAAGUUUUCAUGUUCCUCUAAAAAAUAUUUUAGAACCGGGGAUUUAGCUCAGUGGUUUCGCCACCUGCUGCGCAAGCGCAAGGACCCAAGUUCGAUUCCCGGUACCACAAAAAUAAAAAAUUUAUUUAAAAAAAUAUACAAAGUCACCUAUUCUCCACAGCUCUGUUUUGUCAUCAGAAAGUGUAAGAAUAAAUCCUCACCAGGAGAGGGCGCUGGACCACAAAGAAACUCGGAUUGUUUUGGAGACAAAACCUGGUGUCAGCGUCAGUAUCUCAGGGGCGAAUGUUAGCUGCUUUCACUGUGAUUCCGGUGCCCUUUGGCUGCUCGGCCCAAGGACCGCAGAUUUCACCGUCAGCUCCUCAGGUGUGAAGGUGCACUCCUCCCCUGGUGUGGGGUGGAGCCCGGGGCUCACACUCGGCAGCCGAGCGCUAUCCCCGCCUAGAGCGGUCACACAGCCUAAGGACGCACCUCGCACUCAGCCACUGCUCCGCGCCUCGGCCUCUGUCCGCCCCGCCACCCGAGCCCCCCACGCUUCCCGCUGAAGGGCUGAUGGCACCUGUCCUUGGGACCUGCAGGGAACCUCACUGAACAAACACAACUUGGUGAGGUCGAGGCAGGAGGCCUUGAGUUCUAAUCCCGCCUGGGCAAUGUAAUGAACGCUUGUUUCAAAAUAAACACUAAAAAGGGCUGGGGAUGUAGCUACCACACACAGGCACGCACGCACGCACGCACACACACGCACUCACACGGGGCUUUUUAAAAAAAUUAACUUUGUUAUCAAACACACACACAAAAUUAAAACCACUCAAAGAAGAACAAUGCAAGGGGAAAAAACCUACAAUAAUAUUCAAAUACAGUAGAACUCAACCAAAACUCAAAACUGAAAAGUACUUAAACAUUUUUCCAUACAACUUAAAAAAGCAUCUCAAGCACCAACAAGACACCAGAGGAUGUGAUUUGUUUCAGAAAGGUCCCCCAAACCAACAUUGAACAAAUAAUGAUCUGGAAAAAAAAAAAACCCCAGCAGACUCCACAUAAGCCAAACUUCUCCACAGGGUUUAGUUUUAGAAACAAAUAAUAGCACUUUUACUUCCUUUUUGACUUUUUUUUUUUCUGGUACCGGGGAUCGAACUUGGGACUUUGCACUUGGGGAGGCAGGCGGUGGAACCACUGAGCGAAAUCCCCCGCCCCCUUUUUGACUUUCUGUCGCACUCCAAGUUCAAGUCUGGCUUCCGUGUGGUCCGAAUGCACCCACUGAAGGUCCUCCUGCCCGAGAUCUCCC